UGGAGAGGCACUUGCUUUGCUGCAAAGGGGAACGGAAGCCACUUAAUGUGCUGCUGCUGCUUGAUUGCUGUAGGGGAAGGAGGAUUUUCUGCCAGAGGUGACAUGAGAGCUUUAUCUACUGUGACGAUGGCCACAAGCUAAACACUAUGUGCAGACAGAAACUCUGGGCUAGAGAGGAAAGGAGAAGAAAGGUAAGUGCACUCUGUAAAUUAGGGGCAGUUUCAUAAGUAAGUUGAGUUGUGAGGACCCAGGAAAAAUCCUCCUCCUCUCCACUGCCACCCUGGCCUGAAAUGUCUCCCAGCUGAGUCACCGCGCUGAGGUGAAUGUUUUUACGCAGGUGUGACACAGACUGCUGUGGAGAAAAGGUCAGGAUGAGCUGAUGUAGAUUAACUGUGCAGAGGAGCUGUAGACAGGAGCAAAAUGAGCUUUCCCUAAAGGGCUUUUUCUGCACAUUUUGUGCCACUUUUGUGCAAAGCCUCUGAUCACAGCCUUCUGCAUUUCUCCAGAUUUAAGUGUCAGAGAAAUAGAUCCGUAUUUUGUGGUCUGUCAAGUUCCAGACAGACACCAGUGUGAAAACAUGAUGAACAGAAAACAGAAAAUGAAAUAAUGAUUUU